rnacentral:lncRNA from 10 species
AUUUUUUUAAAUUUUGUUUAUAUAUUUAUUUAUUUAUUUUGAGAUGAAGUCUCAUUCUGUUGCCUAGGCUGGAGUACAGUGGCACAAUCUUGGCUCACUGCAACCUCUGCCUCCCAGGUUCAAGCAAUUCUCUCAGCCUCCCAAGUAGCUGGGAUUAUAGGCAUAUGCCACCAUGCCAGGCUAAUUUUUGUAUUUUUUGUAGACACAGGGUUUUGCCAUGUUGGCCAGGCUGGUCUCAAACUCCUGACCAGCCCUCCUUGACCUUCCAAAGUGCUGGGAUUAUAGGCGUGAGCCAUUGCACCUGGCCCAGUUCCCUGGGAUACAUGUGUUUUAAUUCAUUUUCUGUUGCUAGUAACAGAAUACCUGAAACUGGGUAAUUUAUAAGGAAAAGAAAUUUAUUUCUUACAGUGAUGGAGGUUGAGAAGUCCAACUUCAAGGCACCACAUCUGGUGAGAGCCUUCAUUCCGAUGACAGCCUUCAUGCUGGUAAGAUUUUCUUCAGAGUUCCAAGGUGGUGCACGGCAUCACAUGGCGAAGGAAAUGAGCGUGCUAGCUCAGGUGUCUCUUCCUCUUCUUAUAAAGCCACCAGUCCCACUCCUGUGCUAGUAACUCUUUAAUCCAUCAACCCAUUAAUCCAUGAAUAGAUUAACCCAUGAGGCCUCUGCCCUCAGGACCCAAUCACCUCUUAAAGGCCUGACCUGUCAAUAUUGCCAUACUGGGGACUCAGUUUCAACAUGAGUUUUGAAAGGGACAAACAUUCAAUCCAUAGUAACAUGAGAGCUUUUCAAAGCCCUUCUUUGUUGAAGUAUGUCCUUCUCCAGCCUCUUUUUUCCCAGGCUUUUUGUUUUUUCUAUUGCUUGUGCAGCUGUUAUCCUUUGCUACAGGUGGCAAUAGCUAAUACAUUUGCCUUUAAAUUUGUUUGACAAACACCACCCUGGAAGUAGCCUCAACUCUGGGGAAGCUCCAAGACAGGUAAAAUACAGCAACCUGCAGCAGGAAAAUGGGCUUCAGUUUUCAAGUCUGCAGCUGAGUUGGGAAGUUGCGGACAGUAACCAGGUGAAAUACUUAUGUUCCCAGCAGAGGGCACCCACAAAAUUCCUAUUAACUGCUGUACCAUUGCAUGAUGACUUCAAUUCAGUCAUAGUCUAACCUCGAGUCUAAAAUGGUAGCCAUUGCCAGUGCCCAUCAUUGAAGGUAUGAAGGAGGGGGAGAUUCAAGGAGACUGGAGUGAGGGGGCAAUUAAAAUAAUUACAAUGAAAUGUAACUCUGACUGAGCACAUUUCUGGAACAAGUCAUGGAGGCCACGCUGAUAAUCAUAGCUUCCUUCUUCCACCACCCAUUACCUCCUUCGGGCUGAGUGGGGUUUGUUACUUGGCAGGGUGAUCCAUACCUUCAUCUGUGAUCUGAGUCCUCGGUGAACCUGCCUCUCUGGGUUGCACCACUUUCCACCGACUGCUAGAAUAAGAGAUGCCUCAGUGAAUCUCUUGGAUGAGUCUCUCCUGUCGGGUAGCUGCAAAGGAAUUUCCUUCUAGUCAAUGGAGACAGCCAAUACAGUGACUGCUUUCUCUGCCUUUUGGUUUAGCAGCAUGAGGAGGCUCAGAUGGCUUAGGGUCACACUCAGUUUCAACUUCCAAUUGGAUGUUACUUUGUGUUCCUUGAUGGAAGUAUUUCUUCUAGGUCAGCCACUGAGCCCAAGGUCAAACAAAAAGCAAGAAUUCUUUCCAUGGUGAAUUAGUGUAAUAGUGCGAAGAACCACUCCUGCCUCCACCCCUCGGUUCCCAGGCUGAUGCAAUCUGAUUACGGGGGAGGUGGCAUCCUGGGCUGCUGCUGGUUUGAGGCAGUUACUGCAUCUUAUAGGAAAGCACCCCACCCUGCCAGGCAUUGCCCCUCAGCUGUCACUGUGUCUGUGUCUUCAGCAGGCCAUUCCACCAUCCAAUUAAUCCAUUUAUUUAUUUAUUUAUUUAGAUGGCGUCUCACUCUGUCACCCAGGCUGGAGUGCAGUGGCUCGAUCUUGUUUCACUGCAACCUCUGUCUCCCAGGUUCAAGCGAUUCUUCUGCCUCAGCCUCUCAGGUAGCUGGGACUACAGGUGCAUGCCACCAUGCCUAGCUAAUUUUUGUAUUUUUAGUAGAGAUGGGGUUUCACCAUAUUGGCCAGGCUGGUCUCAAACUCCUGACCUUGUGAUCUGCCCGCCUCGGCCUCCCAAAGUGCUGGGAUUACAGGCAUGAGCCACCGCGCCUGGCCCAAUUAAUCCAUAUUUUUCUAGGGAAUGAAUCGUGAUAAAACCAGUGAAUUCCAUGGUUAUGAGCCCGCUGUCACAUUGCCACCUCUGAAAAGUGUAUCCCUUGCAGGGAGAUGUUUGAGUUUUGACACCAUUUGGGAUAGACAAGACAUUCUUUAAGUCCAUGAACUUUGGUGCUGGCAGACAUACUGGGGACAGGAAAGGCAAAUCCAUACUUGGAGCAAAUAUUUGUCUCUGUGAGGCUAAUUCUGCCUCCUACCUGAUGAAAGGGAUCCAAAGUUAUCUACCUGCAAUCAGAUGUCUUUGCUGGGUCUCUUUAAGGAACGGUGCCAUUUUAGGGUCUUAGUGUUGAUCUGCUGUGGCCGAUUGGACAUUGAGUUCUGGCAGAGGCCAGAUCAGUCUUGGUGAGAGUGUGCUACUGAGCCCAUGCAUAGCGUCCAUCCCUGCCAUAUGUGUGCUUUGUUCAUGGGCCAAUUAAGCAAGUACGUGGGAAGUGAGGGAAAGAGACUGAUAGAUAUCCACAGAUUGGAUCAUCUUGACCACAUGAUUAUUGUUAGAAACAGAAUUGUGGCCCCCAAAUUCAUAUAGUGAAGCCCUAAUUCCCCCAUGUGACUGUAUUUGGAGACAGGAGAUAAUUGAGAUCAUAAGGGUUGAGGCCUAAUCUCAUAGGAUCGCUGUCCUUAUAAGAAGUGGAAGAAACAUCAGAGAGCUCUCCCUCUCCACACACACAGAGGAAAGGCCACAUGGGGACAAGAGAGGGCAACUGUCUACAAAUCUGGAAGAGAGACUUCAGAAGAAACCAGCACUGAUGGCAUCUGAUCUUGGACUUCCAGCCUCUGGAUCUUUUCUGUGUCAUUUCCAGAUCUGCCAGAGCCUGAUCUCAUACACACUGAUGUGGUACAGGAAAUGCCACCUGAAAAUAUGGUACCUUGGCAUUUGAGGAAACAGUAGAAGGAGGUCAUAGAAACUAGAAAGAAUUCCUCCUUGCUCUUUGUCCCCCAAAGGAGCCAUAAAACCUGGGCCGAGUUUCUUCUGAAAAUAAGUUAUAAGAUCCUUAUUCCAGAGGGGUCCUGCCCUGUGCCUGGAGGAAAAGAAUGAAGACACAGAGAUGCCUUGAAGAAUCUGAACAAACAGCCCUUGCUAAGUUCCCCCCAGUUUAUUGACAUUAGAUUAGACCUUUUGUCCUCCAAUUAUACUUCUGUGUUCCUGAAAAUACACAUUUUCCCGUUUUUUCUUUUGUUUGCUUUUUUUGAUCUUCAUUUCUGAAGAUUCCCAUGUCAUGUAAAAUAUAUGUUAAACAAAU